rnacentral:lncRNA from 1 species
AAGCCUUCCCCAUUAUAGAUUCUCAAAAGGCGGCGGACGCUCUAAUUAGGCUUUUACAGGACUGUGAACUAUGAACUAACAGCUACUGAAAUCAAAAGAAAGAUGGGUAAUCAUGCAAGUUGAUGCAGCGAGGGGCCAUAGAACUUUUAAUACUUUACUCAAGACUAAUUGCCAAUGUAAUUGUUUUAUGCACGGGGGACAUAUCACCGCUGUUAAGCGAUGUUUGCAAUCCUGAGUGAUAAUAUCAGAAAAACUUUUGCCAUCCAUCGUUCAAACCCAUAAUUCUGUUCAAAUCUCUAUCCUUGGCACGUUCCAUAAUCGUGUAUGUAUCUAUGCGAGUAGUUCAUAGAGCUGGGAUGACUCAGAGUGAUACUUUCCGCAACGGAUCUUCUGUCCCACACCCUGUGCCACUCUCUAUAACCAUGCAAGGCAGGAUAUAUCGAAAUUUGCCGAUGAUGGCUCGUUUCCCAGUUGUCUCUUUUAUCUUCAUGGUUAGUUUCUCUCGAGCAGCUUUUCAGGAAUUUGAAGUCAUGCCUUUGGAAAUAGUACCAGCAAGUAACACCUUUUCGCUGAAAGAUUUAGAAACAUAUAUAGUCCAUGUAAGUUUACCUGCUGGGGUAAGUUCAACCAACUUAGAAGACCUGCAAUACUGGUACCAUUCUUUUAUGCCGAAAACUACCACAGGCUCGAACGAUGCAUCGCGCCUGGUUUAUUCCUAUCGUCAUGUUGCCACUGGCUUUGCAGCCAGAUUAUCACCAGAAGAAGUAAAGGAAAUGGAGAAGAAGGAAGGAUUUCUAUAUGCUAGACCACGAAGAAUCUUUUACCUGCAUACGACACACAGUCCAGUCUUCCUGGGGCUGCACCAGAACAUUGGGUUAUGGGCAGGCUCAAACUAGGGAGAAGGUGUGAUUGUGGGGGUUUUAGACACGGGAAUUACACCAGGCUAUCCUUCCUUUGAUGAGGAAGGCGUGCCACCUCCACCAGCUAUAUGGAAAGGGAAAUGUGAAUUAAAUGGAAUUGCAUGCAAUAACAAACUCAUUGGUGCCAGGAAUUUUGUCAGUGAUGUACCCGGGCAGCCUCUUGAUGUUGAUGGCCAUGGCACUCAUACAGCAAGUACAGCUGCAGGAAACUUUGUGCAAGAUGUCAAUGUGUUUGGCAAUGCCAACGGA